rnacentral:misc_RNA from 1 species
AGCAGCCGCGGUAAUUCCAGCUCCAAUAGCGUAUAUUAAAGUUGUUGCAGUUAAAAAGCUCGUAGUUGAAUCUCGGGGUUAGCAGGUCGGUCGUGCCAUCGGUAUGAACUGGUCUCGCUGAUCCCUCCCUCUUGACGAACUGUGAUGCCAUUAAUUUGGUGUCGCAGGGAAUCAGGACUGUUACUUUGAAAAAAUUAGAGUGUUUAAAGCAGGCUCACGCUUGAAUACAUUAGCAUGGAAUAAUGAAAUAGGACGUUUGAUCCUAUUUUGUUGGUUUCUAGGAUUGACGUAAUGAUUAAUAGGGAUAGUUGGGGGCAUUAGUAUUCAAUUGUCAGAGGUGAAAUUCUUGGAUUUAUUGAAGACUAACUACUGCGAAAGCAUUUGCCAAGGAUGUUUUCAUUAAUCAAGAACGAAAGUUAGGGGAUCGAAGACGAUCAGAUACCGUCGUAGUCUUAACCAUAAACUAUGCCGACUAGGGAUCGGAUGAUGUUAAUUUUUUAAUGACUCAUUCGGCGCCUUA